UAUUAGCGAGCGACAGAAAGGAGCUUGCUCCUUUGACGUUAGCGGCGGACGGGUGAGUAACACGUGGGCAACCUACCUUAUAGAUGGGAUAACUCCGGGAAACCGGGCUAAUACCCGAAUAAUCUUUUACCUCAUGGUGAAAUAUGAAAGACGGUCUAGCUUGCCGCUAUGGAUGGCCCUUCGGCAUUACUUACUUCGCGAGGUAACCGGCUCACCAGGCGACGAUUCGUAGCCCCUUAAACGGUGAUCUGCCACACUGGACUUACACGGCCAGACUCCUACGGGAGGAUGAGCCGGGAAUCUUCCAAUGGGCAACUUUGGGGGACCCCCCUGAGGGAAAAAAGGUUUGGCGUUAAACCUGUUUUAGGGAGAACCUUUUCACAAAUUGGCCUCUUACGGCCCCUUUUUGGAAACCCCGGUUUUUUCCGGGCAAAGGGGGGAAACCCGGGGGGGGUUUCCCGGAUUUUUUGGGGCCAAAGGCCCCCCCUGGGGGUUCCCCCAAACCCGGUCGGGGGGGGUUUAGGGGGGUUUUUUGGAAAAAUGGGGGAGCCCCAAUUUUUUUUGGGGGGGCCCCCGGGGGGUUUUUUUUGCCCCCCUUUUAAGGGGGGAAAAAAAUCCGGGGGCCAAAAUUUGGGGGGGGGCCCUUUUUUAAACGGGGCGGUUUUAAAAAA
rnacentral:rRNA from 1 species